AGUGACCUUUGAGGAUGUGGCUGUGAACUUCAUGCAGGAGGAGUGGGAUUUGCUGGAUGCUUCCCAGAAGAACCUUUACAGAGAUGUGAUGCUGGAAGUCCUCAGAAACCUGGCAUCUAUAGGAAACAAAUGUGAUGAGAAGAACAUUGAAAAUCAGAU